rnacentral:rRNA from 1 species
UACGUAGGGACCAAGCGUUGUUCGGAUUUACUGGGCGUAAAGGGCGCGUAGGCGGCAAUUCAAGUCAUCUGUGAAAUCUCCGGGCUUAACCCGGAACGGUCAGAUGAUACUGCUUUGCUAGAGUGCGGAAGGGGCAAUCGGAAUUCUUGGUGUAGCGGUGAAAUGCGUAGAUAUCAAGAGGAACACCGGUGGCGAAGGCGGGUCUCUGGGCCGUAACUGACGCUGAGGAGCGAAAGCAUGGGGAGCGAACAGG